CCACAAGAGAAACAUCUCCUUCGGUUUGCUCUUGAGCUGAGUAGACUUCUACUGUAAGUUCCCUGUCUGCCUGUGUCUACUGCCGGGACAAAAAGAAAAUGGUAAUGGAACCAUUUCCCUAAGCACAACAGAUGCCCCAUUUCAAGCAGAAGCAGGAAAACUGAAAAGUCUGUAAACGAACAAAUGGC